GAUUGGCACUUGGAUCAGCACAGCUGUUGUCACUCUACAAUCAAGCCUCACCAUAUUUAGCCACAGACUCUGCUUCCUAUCUUUUGCCAGUCUGUUCCGCUGCUCAUGUGAUCCACAUGUGCAAGUUGUCCUGCAUCGACUCUCCUCCCUUGCUUCCCCACUCAGCCUCUGCUGCUCGCCAGUCUAAGACUACUUCUGUGGAUUCUCCUCCAUCUCCCAGCUCUGACCAGCCACUUGCACCAAGCCUUCUCCUCUCUGGUGCCACUUGGCUGCCAAUAAGCUCCCAGGAACUCCCAUCCUGGACUCUGUGGAUCUGCCUGCCUUCGUGAGGAGUGUCUGCCAACUGUUCCUGCCAAAGAUCCCUAGCUACACCAUUCCACUGCCUGCUGCCUCCUCUAUAGAUAGUUGCCAGCUUCUUCUCUUUGUAACAGUUACACCUGACAUCAUUUUGUACAAUAAAAGACUUGAAUGUUACUUAG